rnacentral:rRNA from 1 species
UACGAAGGGGGCUAGCGUUGCUCGGAAUCACUGGGCGUAAAGGGUGCGUAGGCGGGUCUUUAAGUCAGGGGUGAAAUCCUGGAGCUCAACUCCAGAACUGCCUUUGAUACUGAGGAUCUUGAGUUCGGGAGAGGUGAGUGGAACUGCGAGUGUAGAGGUGAAAUUCGUAGAUAUUCGCAAGAACACCAGUGGCGAAGGCGGCCGACUGGUCCGGUUCUGACGCUGAGGCGCGAAAGCGUGGGGAGCAAACAGG